rnacentral:rRNA from 1 species
UGGGGAAUAUUGCACAAUGGGGGAAACCCUGAUGCAGCGACGCCGCGUGAGUGAGGAAGUAUUUCGGUAUGUAAAGCUCUAUCAGCAGGGAAGAAAAUGACGGUACCUGACUAAGAAGCCCCGGCUAACUACGUGCCAGCAGCCGCGGUAAUACGUAGGGGGCAAGCGUUAUCCGGAUUUACUGGGUGUAAAGGGAGCGUAGACGGAUAAGCAAGUCUGAUGUGAAAAUCCGGGGCCCAACCCCGGAAUUGCAUUGGAAACUGCAUAUCUAGAGUGUCGGAGAGGCAAGUGGAAUUCCUGGUGUAGCGGUGAAAUGCGUAGAUAUCAGGAGGAACACCAGUGGCGAAGGCGGCUUGCUGGACGAUGACUGACGUUGAGGCUCGAAAGCGUGGGGAGCAAACAGG